UAGGUAGCAAAUGGAUUUAAUUUUUUGAUGAUACGUUUUGAUUGAGAACUUGCUAUUCCUCUUUGGUUUUAUGACUUGUCAGUUUUCAUCUGUUGUGGUUGCAUGCUCAAUCAGAGUUCCUAGCUAAAUUACUCCUUUUCCUCUUUUUUUUUUUCCUUUGAUGGUUGAAUCUCAUGGUUUCCUUGUUGAAUAAAUGUUGUCCCAUACUGCCCUUUGUUUCAGGUUGUAGUCGUUAGACUUUGUCCAUUUUAAUUCAAUAAAAACUGGUUGCUGGUGUCUUCUUUCCCUUAUGUUCUCAUACAUUAAUCCUUGAGGCAUGUCUAAUAAUUUUUUCCUGUGGAAGCACACAUUUCUCUGAGGUCUGAGUUUCCUUUGAGUUCAGAAUGUUGUCGAUAAUAUAGUGCAAUUACAUUCUUUGUGUUAAUCUUAGUUAGCUUAACACAAUCUUCUUCAUUGCCAUGCAUGUGUUUUAAGUCAUUGAAUUGGCUUUGACAUGUGCUAUAUCAUAUUAUGAAGUGAUUGGUUCCCUUUGGAAAUAAGAUGGUAAGUUUGUUUCGAACUUAGGCUGAUGCACCUUGCUAUCAAUUUGGUAAUAGUACUGUUUUGAUACAUGUUUUAUAAUAUGUGUUACUAACCAAUCUUCAUGGUCUUCUUAUCCUUCAAUUGAGUUCCAUCGCUACUAUCUCAUCUCUUUUUAUUUAUAUUUUAAUUUAAUUCAUUUUUCGGAUGAUUAUACCUAGGCAAGAUGAGGCGAUGGGAUGUCCAGCUCAUCACUUCCUUAUACAUGUUGAAGCUUAUUAGAGAAUCAAUGCAAUCUCGGUGGACUAUUCAAUUUCCUUGGAAUGGGUGGUCUCGGCAACUUGGGGCUGAACCGGAGCGAACUGACGCAAGUACCAUAUGGAACAUGGUAGCAAGAGUGACCUUGAACUUGGGUUGGCCUGACAUGAUCGAGUGGGUACCAAGUGCAAUAUGUGCACCCAAUCCUUGCACUUGCACUUGCACGCACCAUGGGGCCAUGUACAAGAAGUAAGGGUACAUGCUAGUAAUUUUGGGUGCAUAUGCAUUUUAAUUAUAAGAAUGAGUUUGUCCCCAUUGAAGUCCAAGUGGAACAUUAGCAAUGGGCUGACUAGAAUGGUAUACCCACCUGAGAAUACUCAUCUGAAAUAUACCCACUUGCAUAGUUUUUAAGGCGCUGGUGCGACUAAGGCGUUUGAGGGUUUGUCGGAGCGCCUUAGCAAUAAG